rnacentral:rRNA from 1 species
AACGAACGCUGGCGGCGUGCCUAAUACAUGCAAGUCGAGCGGAGUAAGGUGAAACUUGUUUCACCGAACUUAGCGGCGGACGGGUGAGUAACACGUAGGCAACCUGCCCAUAAGACUGGGAUAACUACCGGAAACGGUAGCUAAUACCGGAUAGGUUCUUUUCUCGCAUGAGAGAAGAAAGAAAGACGGAGUAAUCUGUCACUUAUGGAUGGGCCUGCGGCGCAUUAGCUAGUUGGUGGGGUAAAGCCUACCAAGGCGACGAUGCGUAGCCGACCUGAGAGGGUGAUCGGCCACACUGGGACUGAGACACGGCCCAGACUCCUACGGGAGGCUG